ensembl:lncRNA
UUCCAUAUGUUGCCCCAAGAGGGAUGGAGGAAAGGGGGGGGGGGCACAGCGGCGGUCUUAAGGGGGCGGUUAGUUAGAGUGUUUAAUGUAGAAGCCCUGGUAACGAGUAGAGGAGUCUCUUUGUGGAGGUGAUGGUGGGAAACUUUGCUCCUUGAAUACCUGCAUACAUCGACAUCAAACCCCCCCCCCCCUGAAUCCACCAGCAAAUAGCUGCCCCCCAGGGGGGCAGACGCUUUGAUGAGGCAUCUAUGUCAAAGCGUCCGUCUACGAUCCGUCUUCGACCCGUCUGGAUGAAUAAUUUAGCAGGUUUUAUUUCCAGCCAUCUGCUCUUCUCUCUCUCCAUCAUCCUUCUCUUCACAUCUCCCUUCUGAAGUCACAACAUCUAGAACUCGUUGUUCUUCUUGUUAACGUGAGAAUAAAGAAGAGUGGUAGAUUAAGGGAACCCGAAAAGAAAUCCCUUUUGGGACCCGGCAAUUGUUGGGAAGGGCCAUUCAGAGCCCCUUUGAGGGCUUUUAGAGGCCCUUCGGAGGCUUUCAGAGGCCCUUCUAGAGGCUUUCAGAGGCCUUCGGAGGCCCUUCUAGAGGCUUUCAGAGGCCCUUUAGAGGCCCUUCUAGAGGCUUUCGGAAGCUCUUCGGAGGCCCUUCUAGAGGCUUUCAGAGGCCCUUUAGAGGCCCUUCUAGAGGCUUUCAGAGGCCCUCCGGAGGCCCUUCUAGAGGCUUUCAGAGGCCCUUUAGAGGCCCUUCUGGAGGCUUUCAGAGGCCCUUCUAGAGGCUUUCAGAAGCACUUCGGAGGCCCUUCUAGAGGCUUUCAGAGGCCCUUCGGAGGCCCUCAGAGAUCUGGAUCAGAUCGAUAGCGAGCAGAGGUCCGCCACGCGUUCACUGGCAUCACACGUGUGUCCCAACCAACCAUAAUAACAAUUAAUAAUUCACGGUUACAUGUGAGGAGACGACCACCGGGGGGGAGGUCCUCUUAAACAGUUAAUCAGUCAGUGAUCAAUAGGACACCAUUGUUAAUACAUCAGUUCCACGUGGCUUUAUUGGCCUAUUUAUUGGUUUUCUGGAAAUAGAAAAAAAUUAAAGCAUCAAAUUAAAAAACUACACAAACCAAAACAUAAAUGUUAAAAAUGAAAUAUAAAUAAUGAAUAAGGUAUUAACGUUAAAGCUGUAAAAAAGGAAAACCAAGCAGUAAAAGUAACAGCAUUCUGUACAAAUGUGGAUCUGUUUCUUCACCUCAGGAUGCUGCGACACUGUAGUACUACUCCGCUGUCGUACUUGUGCACUGUACUACAUUGUAGGACUUGUACAUUGUAGUACUUGUACACUGUAUUACUUGUACACUGUGGUACUUGUACACUGCAGUAGUACUACAUUGUAGUAGUACUACAUUUUAGUACUUGUACAUUGUAGUACUUGUACACUGUAGUAGUACUUGUACACUGUACUGUACUAUGCUUUGGUACUUGUACACUGCAGUAGUACUACAUUGUAGUACUUGUACACUGUAGUACUACUCCGCUGUGGUACUUGUGCACUGCUGUUGUACUACAUUGUAGUACAUGUACAUUGUAGUACUUGUACACUGUAGUAGUACUUGUACACUGUACUGUACUAUGCUUUGGUACUUGUACACUGCAGUAGUACUACAGUGUAGUACUUGUACACUGUAGUACUACUAUGCUGUGGUACUUGUACACUGCAGUAGUACUACAUUGUAGUACUUGUACGCUGUAGUAGUACUUGGACACUGUAGUACUACUGCACGGUAGUACUUGAGUUGACGUCAAUGGGAGAAUGUGCACUAAUGUUCUUUGAGUGAGAGACAAUUUUGAAUUACCUGCUAUAAAAACAGCCAAGCAUGAGUCCCUCAACACACACACACACACACACACACACACAGACACACACAGACACACGCACACACAGACACACAGACACACACACACACACACACACACACACACACACACACACACACACACACACACACACACACACGGCCCCUCCAAGACGUUCAUCAUCUCCAGCGACCUGCAGUGACCGGCUGCAUGUAUUAGUAAUCAGCCCCCGUCACAGAGGAAAGAAUUAACAAGGCGGCUCUUGUCGCCUCGGUAACAAAACGUGCACUUGUGCAGAGACACUAAAGCCUCCGGCUCUACAGAUCUUGUUUCCAGGGACCCGAUGAGAGGGAGGGGGGGGAGGGGGGGGCGUAAUGGCGUCCGAGCAAGGUGUGUGUGUGCAGGAUUAGAAUACAUCACAUAUUCUGUUAAACCAUCUGGUCAGAAAAACUGAAGCAGCCGUAAAGAAGAAUGAGACAAAACAGAACGAAAGGUGAACUACACAAACUGAAAU